rnacentral:lncRNA from 1 species
GGGUUUUGAAUCCAAUGGCUAGUUUGUCUGAACAACGAACAAUCCGGACCUUGAACGGUGGACUACAUGAGAAUGCCUUCUCAUAAGAACAUCACUCGAUUUUAGGUCCUAUCUAUAUAUAGUGCGGUGCUCGGCUCUAGAGGGCUGUCUUCGCCACUCUUGAAACAUAUACUUGGAGAAAGCCAAAAUAUGUAGUAUUACCUCCAUCCCAAAUUAUAAAAUAUUUGAUAUUUUGAACCUAAGUUUAGCCACCUGUCUUAUCU